rnacentral:rRNA from 1 species
UACGGAGGGUGCAAGCGUUAUCCGGAUUCACUGGGUUUAAAGGGUGCGUAGGAGGGCAGGGAAGUCCGUGGUGAAAUCCUAGAGCUUAACUCUAGAACUGCCGUGGAUACUCUCUGUCUUGAAUCCCGUGGAGAUGAGCGGAAUAUGUCAUGUAGCGGUGAAAUGCUUAGAUAUGACAUAGAACACCAAUUGCGAAGGCAGCUCGUUACACGAAGAUUGACUCUGAGGCACGAAAGCGUGGGGGAUCAAACAGG